rnacentral:rRNA from 1 species
GACGAACGCUGGCGGCGUGCUUAACACAUGCAAGUCGAACGGAAAGGCCCUGCUUUUGUGGGGUGCUCGAGUGGCGAACGGGUGAGUAACACGUGAGUAACCUGCCCUUGACUUUGGGAUAACUUCAGGAAACUGGGGCUAAUACCGGAUAGGAGCUCCUGCUGCAUGGUGGGGGUUGGAAAGUUUCGGCGGUUGGGGAUGGACUCGCGGCUUAUCAGCUUGUUGGUGGGGUAGUGGCUUACCAAGGCUUUGACGGGUAGCCGGCCUGAGAGGGUGACCGGGCACAUUGGGACUGAGAUACGGCACAGACUCCUACGGGAGGCAGCGGUGGGGAAUAUUGCACAAUGGGCGGAAGCCUGAUGCAGCAACGCCGCGUGCGGGAUGACGGCCUUCGGGUUGUAAACCGCUUUCGCCUGUGACGAAGCGUGAGUGACGGUAAUGGGUAAAGAAGCACCGGCUAACUACGUG